GGGUUGUGAGGUUAAGCGACUAAGCGUACACGGUGGAUGCCCUGGCAGUCAGAGGCGAUGAAGGACGUGCUAAUCUGCGAUAAGCGUCGGUAAGGUGAUAUGAACCGUUAUAACCGGCGAUUUCCGAAUGGGGAAACCCAGUGUGAUUCGUCACACUAUCAUUAACUGAAUCCAUAGGUUAAUGAGGCGAACCGGGGGAACUGAAACAUCUAAGUACCCCGAGGAAAAGAAAUCAACCGAGAUUCCCCCAGUAGCGGCGAGCGAACGGGGAGCAGCCCAGAGCCUGAAUCAGUGUGUGUGUUAGUGGAAGCGUCUGGAAAGGCGCGCGAUACAGGGUGACAGCCCCGUACACAAAAAUGCACAUGCUGUGAGCUCGAUGAGUAGGGCGGGACACGUGGUAUCCUGUCUGAAUAUGGGGGGACCAUCCUCCAAGGCUAAAUACUCCUGACUGACCGAUAGUGAACCAGUACCGUGAGGGAAAGGCGAAAAGAACCCCGGCGAGGGGAGUGAAAAAGAACCUGAAACCGUGUACGUACAAGCAGUGGGAGCACGCUUAGGCGUGUGACUGCGUACCUUUUGUAUAAUGGGUCAGCGACUUAUAUUCUGUAGCAAGGUUAACCGAAUAGGGGAGCCGAAGGGAAACCGAGUCUUAACUGGGCGUUAAGUUGCAGGGUAUAGACCCGAAACCCGGUGAUCUAGCCAUGGGCAGGUUGAAGGUUGGGUAACACUAACUGGAGGACCGAACCGACUAAUGUUGAAAAAUUAGCGGAUGACUUGUGGCUGGGGGUGAAAGGCCAAUCAAACCGGGAGAUAGCUGGUUCUCCCCGAAAGCUAUUUAGGUAGCGCCUCGUGAAUUCAUCUCCGGGGGUAGAGCACUGUUUCGGCAAGGGGGUCAUCCCGACUUACCAACCCGAUGCAAACUGCGAAUACCGGAGAAUGUUAUCACGGGAGACACACGGCGGGUGCUAACGUCCGUCGUGAAGAGGGAAACAACCCAGACCGCCAGCUAAGGUCCCAAAGUCAUGGUUAAGUGGGAAACGAUGUGGGAAGGCCCAGACAGCCAGGAUGUUGGCUUAGAAGCAGCCAUCAUUUAAAGAAAGCGUAAUAGCUCACUGGUCGAGUCGGCCUGCGCGGAAGAUGUAACGGGGCUAAACCAUGCACCGAAGCUGCGGCAGCGACGCUUAUGCGUUGUUGGGUAGGGGAGCGUUCUGUAAGCCUGCGAAGGUGUGCUGUGAGGCAUGCUGGAGGUAUCAGAAGUGCGAAUGCUGACAUAAGUAACGAUAAAGCGGGUGAAAAGCCCGCUCGCCGGAAGACCAAGGGUUCCUGUCCAACGUUAAUCGGGGCAGGGUGAGUCGACCCCUAAGGCGAGGCCGAAAGGCGUAGUCGAUGGGAAACAGGUUAAUAUUCCUGUACUUGGUGUUACUGCGAAGGGGGGACGGAGAAGGCUAUGUUGGCCGGGCGACGGUUGUCCCGGUUUAAGCGUGUAGGCUGGUUUUCCAGGCAAAUCCGGAAAAUCAAGGCUGAGGCGUGAUGACGAGGCACUACGGUGCUGAAGCAACAAAUGCCCUGCUUCCAGGAAAAGCCUCUAAGCAUCAGGUAACAUCAAAUCGUACCCCAAACCGACACAGGUGGUCAGGUAGAGAAUACCAAGGCGCUUGAGAGAACUCGGGUGAAGGAACUAGGCAAAAUGGUGCCGUAACUUCGGGAGAAGGCACGCUGAUAUGUAGGUGAAGUCCCUCGCGGAUGGAGCUGAAAUCAGUCGAAGAUACCAGCUGGCUGCAACUGUUUAUUAAAAACACAGCACUGUGCAAACACGAAAGUGGACGUAUACGGUGUGACGCCUGCCCGGUGCCGGAAGGUUAAUUGAUGGGGUUAGCGCAAGCGAAGCUCUUGAUCGAAGCCCCGGUAAACGGCGGCCGUAACUAUAACGGUCCUAAGGUAGCGAAAUUCCUUGUCGGGUAAGUUCCGACCUGCACGAAUGGCGUAAUGAUGGCCAGGCUGUCUCCACCCGAGACUCAGUGAAAUUGAACUCGCUGUGAAGAUGCAGUGUACCCGCGGCAAGACGGAAAGACCCCGUGAACCUUUACUAUAGCUUGACACUGAACAUUGAGCCUUGAUGUGUAGGAUAGGUGGGAGGCUUUGAAGUGUGGACGCCAGUCUGCAUGGAGCCGACCUUGAAAUACCACCCUUUAAUGUUUGAUGUUCUAACGUGGACCCGUGAUCCGGGUUGCGGACAGUGUCUGGUGGGUAGUUUGACUGGGGCGGUCUCCUCCUAAAGAGUAACGGAGGAGCACGAAGGUUGGCUAAUCCUGGUCGGACAUCAGGAGGUUAGUGCAAUGGCAUAAGCCAGCUUGACUGCGAGCGUGACGGCGCGAGCAGGUGCGAAAGCAGGUCAUAGUGAUCCGGUGGUUCUGAAUGGAAGGGCCAUCGCUCAACGGAUAAAAGGUACUCCGGGGAUAACAGGCUGAUACCGCCCAAGAGUUCAUAUCGACGGCGGUGUUUGGCACCUCGAUGUCGGCUCAUCACAUCCUGGGGCUGAAGUAGGUCCCAAGGGUAUGGCUGUUCGCCAUUUAAAGUGGUACGCGAGCUGGGUUUAGAACGUCGUGAGACAGUUCGGUCCCUA
rnacentral:rRNA from 1 species